GACGAACGCUGGCGGCGUGCUUAACACAUGCAAGUCGAACGGAAAGGCCCUGCUUUUGUGGGGUGCUCGAGUGGCGAACGGGUGAUUAACACGUGAGUAACCUGCCCUUGACUUUGGGAUAACUUCAGUAAACUGGGGCUAAUCCCGGAUAGGAGCUCCUGCUGCAUGGUGGGGGUUGGAAAGUUUCGUCGGUUGGGGAUGGACUCGCGGCUUAUCAGCUUGUUGGUGGGGUAGUGGCUUACCAAGGCUUUGACGGGUAGCCGGCCUGAGAGGGUGACCGGCCACAGUGGGACUGAGAUACGGCACAGACUCCUACGGGAGGCAGCAGUGGGGAAUAUUGCACAAUGGGCGGAAGCCUGAUGCAGCAACGCCGCAUGCGGGAUGACGGCCUUCGGGUUGUAAACCGCUUUCGCCUGUGACGAAGCGUGAGUGACGGUAAUGGGUAAAGAAGCACCGGCUAACUACGUG
rnacentral:rRNA from 1 species